UACGUAGGGGCAAGCGUUAUCCGGAUUUACUGGGUGUAAAGGGAGCGCAGACGGCAGCGCAAGUCUGAUGUGAAAUGUACCGGCUCAACCGGUGCCUUGCGGCGGAUACUGCAUAGCUGGAGUACUGGAGAGGGAAGUGGAAUUCCCGGUGUAGCAGUGAAAUGCGUAGAUAUCGGGAGGAACACCAGUGGCGAAGGCGGUUUCCUGGUCUGAUACUGACGCUGAGGCGCGAAAGUGUGGGGAGCAAACAGGAUUAGA
rnacentral:rRNA from 1 species